rnacentral:rRNA from 1 species
UGGUGGAGUGAUUUGUCUGGUUAAUUCCGAUAACGAACGAGACUCUAGCCUGCUAAAUAGUUCACGCAUGCUGAGCAUGCUUGUGAACUUCUUAGAGGGAUUCGCUAUUUUAAAUAGCACGAAAUUGAGCAAUAACA